rnacentral:ribozyme from 1 species
GUCUCCCUUGCUAACAACCUCCACGGGGUGGGAGAUGGGCAACAGAUGCCAAUAACAUCUGGCUAAUAGUAAGC